rnacentral:lncRNA from 1 species
CUUAAUUCUUUGAUCUACACUCAAUGAUGAAAACAAAAAUAACUUAUGUUCCAAAACAAAUGUUUGUUGUAAUUUUCUUUUUAUAGGACAUGCAUGUGUAUUAUCAAUCACCAUAUUUGUCUUGCUGUUAAUUGUUCUAGUCAUGGAUGGGGCCCACAAGUUUCAUUUCUCACAAGUUUGCUCUUUGGUGUAAUUGAGUUGCAUAAUGGUGUAACAAAAAUUUAAAUGCGGUGUAAUCGAGUUUCAACAAAUUAUGAAGCUCUAACAAAAAAAAAGUAAUAAAAAAGAAGGGAUGACUAG